rnacentral:rRNA from 1 species
AUUGAACGCUGGCGGCAGGCUUAACACAUGCAAGUCGAGCGAGCGGCGGACGGGUGAGUAAUGUCUGGGAAACUGCCCGAUGGAGGGGGAUAACUACUGGAAACGGUAGCUAAUACCGCAUACCAUCAGAUGUGCCCAGGAGGGAUUAGCUAGUAGGUGGGGUAAUGGCUCACCUAGGCGACGAUCCCUAGCUGGUCUGAGAGUACGACAAGCCACCAUGGAACUGAGACACGGUCCAGACUCAUACGGUAGGCAGCAGUGGGGAAUAUUGCACAAUGGGCGAAAGCCUGAUGCAGCCAUGCCGCGUGGGUGAAGAAGGCCGUCGGGUUGUAAAGCACUGUCAGCGAGGAGGCGUUACUCGCAGAAGAAGCACCGGCUAACUCCGUGCCAGCAGCCGCGGUAAUUC